rnacentral:rRNA from 1 species
GGAAUAUUGGACAAUGGGCGAAAGCCUGAUCCAGCCAUGCCGCGUGUGUGAAGAAGGUCUUCGGAUUGUAAAGCACUUUAAGUUGGGAGGAAGGGCAGUAAGCGAAUACCUUGCUGUUUUGACGUUACCGACAGAAUAAGCACCGGCUAACUCUGUGCCAGCAGCCGCGGUAAUACAGAGGGUGCAAGCGUUAAUCGGAAUUACUGGGCGUAAAGCGCGCGUAGGUGGUUUGUUAAGUUGGAUGUGAAAGCCCCGGGCUCAACCUGGGAACUGCAUCCAAAACUGGCAAGCUAGAGUACAGUAGAGGGUGGUGGAAUUUCCUGUGUAGCGGUGAAAUGCGUAGAUAUAGGAAGGAACACCAGUGGCGAAGGCGACCACCUGGACUGAUACUGACACUGAGGUGCGAAAGCUAGGGGAGCGAAUGGGAUUAGAUACCCGGG